UACAUGUGGGGCAAGCGUUGUUCGGAAUUACUGGGCGUAAAGCGUGCGCAGGCGGUUUUGUAAGCCAGGUGUGAAAUCCCCGGGCUCAACCUGGGAAUGGCAUUUGGGACUGCAAGGCUGGAGUGCGGCAGAGGAGACUGGAAUUCCUGGUGUAGCAGUGAAAUGCGUAGAUAUCAUGAGGAAUACCAGAGGCGAAGGCGGCUACCUGGACAAUUGCUGACGCUCAGGCACGAAAGCGUGGGGAGCAAAAGGG
rnacentral:rRNA from 1 species